rnacentral:tRNA from 1 species
GCCUGGGUGGCUCAGUCGGUUAAGCGUCCGACUUGGGCUCAGGUCACCAUCUCACAGUUUGUGGGUUCGAGUCCUGCAUCGGGCU